AGAGUUUGAUCCUGGCUCAGGAUGAACGCUGACAGAAUGCUUAACACAUGCAAGUCUACUUGAAGUAACUUCGGUUAUGGAUGGUGGCGGACGGGUGAGUAACGCGUAAAUAACUUGCCCCCUAGUCUGGGACAACUGUUGGAAACGACAGCUAAUACUAGAUAUUAUGAGACCUUGGCAUCAAGGACUUAUGAAAGCUAUAUGCGCUAGGGGAGAGAUUUGCGUCCUAUUAGCUAGUUGGUGAGGUAAUGGCUCACCAAGGCGACGAUAGGUAGCCGGCCUGAGAGGGUGAACGGCCACAAGGGGACUGAGACACGGCCCUUACUCCUACGGGAGGCAGCAGUGGGGAAUAUUGGACAAUGGACCAAAAGUCUGAUCCAGCAAUUCUGUGUGCUUGAUGAAGGCCUUCGGGUUGUAAAGAGCUUUAAGUAGGGAAGAAGAAAGUGACGGUACCUACAGAAUAAGCGACGGCUAAAUACGUGCCAGCAGCCGCGGUAAUACGUAUGUCGCAAGCGUUAUCCGGAAUUAUUGGGCGUAAAGGGCAUCUAGGCGGUCAAUCAAGUCGAAGGUGAAAACUUGUGGCUCAACCAUAAGCUUGCCUACGAAACUGAUUAACUAGAGUACUGGAGAGGUGGACGGAACUACACGAGUAGAGGUGAAAUUCGUAGAUAUGUGUAGGAAUGCCGAUGAUGAAGAUAGUUCACUGGACAGAAACUGACGCUGAAGCGCGAAAGCUAGGGGAGCAAACAGGAUUAGAUACCCUGGUAGUCCUAGCUGUAAACGAUGAUCACUGGGUGUGGGGGGUCGAACCUCCGUGCCGAAGUUAAUGCGAUAAGUGAUCCGCCUGGGGAGUACGUUCGCAAGAAUGAAACUCAAAGGAAUUGACGGGGACCCGCACAAGCGGUGGAGCAUGUGGUUUAAUUCGACGCAACGCGAGGAACCUUACCAGAUCUUGACAUCCUCAGAAUCGAACAGAAGUGUUUGAGUGCCUUCGGGAACUGAGAGACAGGUGGUGCAUGGCUGUCGUCAGCUCGUGUCGUGAGAUGUUGGGUUAAGUCCCGCAACG
rnacentral:rRNA from 1 species